rfam:Oryza meridionalis cultivar OR44 (W2112) chromosome 5, whole genome shotgun sequence.
UUUAAACGUAUCCAUGAGUUUUCGUGUCUAACUUUAAUCAUCCUUCUUAUUUAAAUAUUUUUUAUGAUUAGUAUUUUUAUUGUUAUUAGAUGAUAAAACAUGAAUAGUACUUUUUUGCGUGACUUAUGUUUUUUAAUUUUUUUUAAAUAAGACGGACGAUUAAAGUUGGAUAUGAAAACUCAUGGCUAAACUUAAA